UGAGGAACAUGACUUUCGUGGGGAGUAGCCGGCCCAACAGCCGGGUAAUACCGCGUACGACCUUUUGGGGACAUCCCUGAUUGGUGAAAGCAGCAAUGCGCCGAAAGAGUGCCUCGCGGCCUAUCAGCUAGUUGGUGGGGUAAUGGCUCACCAAGGCAACGACGGGUAGCUGGUCUGAGAGGAUGGCCAGCCACAUUGGGACUGAGACACGGCCCAGACUCCGUACGGGAGCA
rnacentral:rRNA from 1 species